AAAUACGUUUGUAAGUUUCCCCAAAGAAAAAUUGUUCAGAAUGUGACAAUAUAGUUGUUUAUCCAGUAAACAACUGACAAAGAAGCUUUACAGACUCUCUAGUGCUUUGUAGUCAGUUGUGGGGACAGCAUUUCCCCCAUUAUAUGGUAUGCGAAAACAACAACAACAACCAACAAUGCUUCCUAUUCCAUCUUUAUUCCUAGAUCCUUUGUGCAGAGCCACCUGCACUCACUGCUGCAGAAGGCAUGCAAACCAAGCCUUCCCUUGCUGUCCAGACUGCAGCAUGCACCCUCACUGAGGGUGGGGCGUAACCUACUGGUAGCAAGCACCAUCAUGUAAUAUAUGGGGUUUGGCUCAUUUUCCCAAGCACAGUGGCGGGCCAGUCAGUCGGUACCAAACAGGGGAAGCAGACUUAUUAGAGAGUAAAUUCUGGCUCAGCUCAGCUCACAGUCUGAUUGAACCCCACUAAUAACUGUAGGCUUCUGCUAGUUUCUCCUGCUGUCUGGACCCCAUGGGGAAGGUAACCUGGCCUCCUCUCCUGCAGUUUCUGUUCCCUGUCUUUGUUGGCAGGGUUGUUUACAGAUGCUGUGGCUUUCUAAUUAGGCUGGAUUCUUAGCUUUCCAGAUGUGCUAUGGUGCCAUUGUGCCUACAGGAAGGGUUCAGGGUUCCCUUCUAUCCGUAAAUUGGUUCUGGAGAUCGAUGGAGACACAAAGGUUCUGCGUGUGUCCUGGUGUGGCUCCGUCUUAUCAGCUUUCCCAUAAAUUAUGCCUGUAAAUUGCCCACAGCAUUGUCACGCGCUGUUUCACAAGUGAAGAAAGAACCCAGGACAGCCAAGUCAGGUGCACGCUCAUUUGAGUACAUGCUUCAGGAUGUCUUAUCUCUCUGGCUAGCACCCUGACUGUGAAACCACACUGUACUACUUUCCACGCAGGGGGACUUCCAUACACAUCUUCACUGACCACCUAGCCACAUGGGCUUCCUUCUGCCUCACUUCCCUUGGCUCUGUGUCUCAGGCCUCGUAAAGGGCCACCUUUGCCACCCAUUUACCCCUGUUUCUUCCUUAAGGCACUGUGGGAAGUGAUGGCUACCUUAUGAUUUAAGAAUAUUAGAGCCAAUGUCUACUUGCAUUUAUUGAUGUGUCCAUUUGAGCAUUUUUCCUCCUAGGUUGUCUGUCUUUCUUUUACUUUUUUUUUUAAUAAGAUAUAGGAUAUGUGUUCUAAAUCAAGAUAUCACCAUAUACACCAUAUAUACACAAGGAUAUAUGUUUUAUGCUUGUGUUUGUGCUUGUCUAGUCUCUUCUUCUAAAAUUAAAUUUCAAUUUAUUUAUUUAUUUGGUGUGUAUGUAUGUGCGAAUGCAUGUAUACAGUUCUUCUUCCUGCAGUAAACUAGGCAUAGCCUGAAUUUACUAUUGUAACCAUUUGGAAUGAGCCAGUGACAGAGAUGAGUUAUAUAAAAGCCACAAGAAUUUAGUUUCAGAACAUUUUCAUCAAUCCAAACAGAAAUUGUCCAUAUUUUAAAACAACAACAACAACAAACUGAACACGAUUCCCCUCUUCUCCCACCUCCUGGCAACCAUCAGCCUGCUUCCUGUUAAGAAGGGCUUCUACUCAGUUGAUUAUGUAAAUAGGAUCACACCAGUCAUCUUUGUUCCUGGCUGCUUUCACUAAGCAUGAUGGUGUCAAGAGACAUUCGUGUAGUGUGUGUUUCUAUUUCACCCCUUCUUCUGGCUGCAUAGUACUCCUCUGUAUGGAUGUACCACAUUCUAUUGUUCUUACGAAUAGAUAGAUGUUAAGAUUCCUUCUCCAUUUUGGCUACUGUGAACAGCUGCUAUGAAUAUUCAUGUUUUGUGUAGACAUAGGCUUUUUACUUCUCUUGUGUACAGAGGGCUACACUGCUCUGCCUUUGAGAAGCUGUGUUUAUUUGUAGUUUGUUUGUUUGUUGCUAGUCUGUCUUUGAACUUGUGGUCCUUCUUCCUCUGUAUUACAUCGGUGUAUAGCGAAUCCUCCAUCACUCUUGGCUCUGGUGUACUCCUGGCCUUCCCAGUGGCCAAGAGGUGGUGUCUCACUGUGGUUGCCUUGGGCUGACGUUGAGAGUCUUUUCACAUACC
rnacentral:lncRNA from 1 species